rnacentral:rRNA from 1 species
UACAGAGGUCUCAAGCGUUGUUCGGAUUCAUUGGGCGUAAAGGGUGUGUAGGUGGCGCGCUAAGUCGGGUGUGAAAUUUCGGAGCUUAACUCCGAAACUGCAUUCGAUACUGGCGUGCUUGAGGACUGGAGAGGAGACUGGAAUUCAUGGUGUAGCAGUGAAAUGCGUAGAUAUCUGGAGGAACACCGGUGGCGAAGGCGGCAUCCUGGACCGACAUUGACGCUGAGGCGCGAAAGCCAGGGGAGCAAACGGG